rnacentral:rRNA from 1 species
GGACAGAAAGACCCUAUGAAGCUUUACUAUAGCUUGGAAUUGGGUUCGGGCUUUAAUUGCGCAGGAUAGGUGGGAGACUAUGAAGUAGACCUUGUGGGGUUUAUGGAGUCACUGGUGAGAUACCACUCUAUUAGAGCUAGGAUUCUAACCUUUACCCAUUAACUGGGAGAGGAACAGUUUCAGGUGGGUAGUUUGACUGGGGCGGUCGCCUCCCAAACGGUAACGGAGGCGUACAAAGGUUUCCUCUGAACGGGUAGAAAUCGUAUCUAGAGUGUAAAGGCAUAAGGAAGCUUGACUGUGAGACCUACAAGUCGAGCAGGGACGAAAGUCGGUCUUAGUGAUCUGACGGUGCUGAGUGGAAAGGCCGUCACUCAACGGAUAAAAGUUACUCUAGGGAUAACAGGCUGA